rnacentral:rRNA from 1 species
ACUUUGAAGAGAGAGUUCAAGAGUACGUGAAACCGUUUAGGGGUAAACCUGAGAAACCCGAAAGGUCGAAUGAGGAAAUUCAUUCGCGUUUCGGCUGGCGGCGUCAAGUUGUCGAGUGACGCAUAGCAUCUUUCGGGAUGCACAGCGCGCCUUUAAUUUGACGAACCGUUGCCGAACGCGUGCACUUUUCUUCUAGUAGGACGUCGUGAUCCGUUGAGUGUCGGUCUAAGACUUGUGCGGUGGAGCCCGUGAAUUCGAUCUNUGAUCGAGACUUUUGCGGACCCGUCUUGUUCUGGCCGACAAGCUCGACGGUAUACGAAUGGNNCGAGGCCGCUACACAUUNNAGUUAGCGUCCGGUCCGUGGCAAGCUAGCCCGGUGCGUCGGUGACCGGACCUAGUGCCGGUUCUGAUCCCGCGGUGACUGUUGGCUGCGGUUACCUCGGACAGACCUCGAUUUGAAACGCCGAUCGAUGACGCUAUAGCUUUGGGUAAUUUCAGGACCCGUCUUGAAACACGGACCAAGGAGUGUAGCAUGUGCGCGAGUCAUUGGGAUAUCACUAAACCUAAAGGCGCAAUGAAAGUAAAGAUUCGUCUUGCACGAAUCUAGGGAGGAUAGGUGGUGUACCUUUAAAAGUCGCCGCCUCGCACUCCCGGGGCGUCUCGUUCUCAUUGCGAGAUGAGGCGCACCAAGAGCGUACACGCUGGGACCCGAAAGAUGGUGAACUAUGCCUGGUCAGGAUGAAGUCAGGGGAAACCCUGAUGGANGUCCGUANCGAUUCUGACGUGCAAAUCGAUCGUCGGAACUGGGUAUAGGGGCGAAAGACUAAUCGAACCAUCUAGUAGCUGGUUCCCUCCGAAGUUUCCCUCAGGAUAGCUGGCGCUC